rnacentral:rRNA from 1 species
CCCUUAGAUGUUCUGGGCUGCACGCGCGCUACACUGAUGCGCUCAACGAGUUUACGACCUUGCCCGGAAGGGUUGGGUAAUCUUUUUAAAACGCAUCGUGAUGGGGAUAGAUUAUUGCAAUUAUUAGUCUUGAACGAGGAAUUCCUAGUAAGCACAAGUCAUCAGUUUGUGUUGAUUACGUCCCUGCCCUUUGUACACACCGCCCGUCGCUCCUACCGAUUGAAUGUUCCGGUGAGCUCUUCGGACUGCGCGGUCUGCAGUUUCUGCGUUCCGUGCGGAAAGUUGCGCAAACCUUAUCAUUUAGAGGAAGGAGAAGUCGUAACA